rnacentral:rRNA from 1 species
GAGGACCGAACCCACUAACGUUGAAAAGUUAGGGGAUGACCUGUGGAUGGGAGUGAAAGGCUAAUCAAACUGGGAGAUAGCUGGUUCUCCUCGAAAUAUAUUGAGGUAUAGCCUCGGACGAAUUGCGCUGGAGGUAAAGCACUGGAUGGGCUAGGGGCACUACCAUGUUACCAAACCCAACCAAACUCUGAAUGCCAGCGACAACUAUCCGGGAGACAGGCGGCGGGUGAUAAGGUCCGUCGCCGAGAGGGAAAGAGCCCAGAUCGACAGCUAAGGUCCCAAAAUCCAGACUAAGUGUUAAAGGAUGUGGGAACGCUCAGACAGCCAGGAGGUUGGCUUAGAAGCAGCCAUCCUUUAAAGAAAGCGUAAUAGCUCACUGGUCGAGUCGUCCUGCGCGGAAGAUGUAACGGGGCUAAGCACGUAACCGAAGCUGCGGAUGCAUAUUUAUAUGCAUGGUAGGAGAGCGUUCUGUAGGCCUGCGAAGGUGUUCUGUGAGGAAUGCUGGAGGUAUCAGAAGUGCGAAUGCUGACAUGAGUAGCGAUAAAGCGGGUGAAAAGCCCGCUCGCCGAAAGCCCAAGGUUUCCUGCGCAACGUUCAUCGGCGCAGGGUGAGUCGGCCCCUAAGGUGAGGCAGAGAUGCGUAGCUGAUGGGAAACAGGUUAAUAUUCCUGUACUUACAUAUACUGCGAUGUGGGGACGGAGAAGGUUAGCUCAGCCAACUGUUGGAAUAGUUGGUUCAAGCGUGUAGUCGUGCUCUUUAGGCAAAUCCGGAGAGCUUAGAUGAGGCGUGAUAACGAGGCUGCUUGCAGCCGAAGUGAGUGAUACCCUGCUUCCAGGAAAAGCCACUAAGCUUCAGCUAUUGACGACCGUACCGCAAACCGACACUGGUGCGCGAGAUGAGUAUUCUAAGGCGCUUGAGAGAACUCAGGAGAAGGAACUCGGCAAAUUGAUACCGUAACUUCGGGAGAAGGUAUGCCGCAAGUAGGUGAACUUGUACAAAGGGAGCCCAAAGCGGUUGCAAAAAAUCGGUGGCUGCGACUGUUUAAUAAAAACACAGCACUCUGCAAACACGAAAGUGGACGUAUAGGGUGUGACGCCUGCCCGGUGCUGGAAGAUUAAAUGAUGGGGUGCAAGCUCUUGAUUGAAGUCCCAGUAAACGGCGGCCGUAACUAUAACGGUCCUAAGGUAGCGAAAUUCCUUGUCGGGUAAGUUCCGACCUGCACGAAUGGCGUAACGAUGGCCACACUGUCUCCUCCUGAGACUCAGCGAAGUUGAAAUGUUUGUGAUGAUGCAAUCUCCCCGCGGAAAGACGGAAAGACCCCAUGAACCUUUACUGUAGCUUUGUAUUGGACUUUGAACAGAUCUGUGUAGGAUAGGUGGGAGGCUUUGAAGUGAGGUCGCUAGAUCUCAUGGAGCCAACGUUGAAAUACCACCCUGGUGCGUUUGAGGUUCUAACCUA